rnacentral:rRNA from 1 species
GUAUAGGGUAGGCGUAGCGAAAGCGAGUCUUAAUAGGGCGUUUAGUCGCUGGGUAUAGACCCGAAACCGGGCGAUCUAUCCAUGAGCAGGUUGAAGGUUAGGUAACACUGACUGGAGGACCGAACCCACUCCCGUUGAAAAGGUAGGGGAUGACUUGUGGAUCGGAGUGAAAGGCUAAUCAAGCUCGGAGAUAGCUGGUUCUCCUCGAAAGCUAUUUAGGUAGCGCCUCAUGUAUCACUCUGGGGGGUAGAGCACUGUUUCGGCUAGGGGGUCAUCCCGACUUACCAAACCGAUGCAAACUCCGAAUACCCAGAAGUGCCGAGCAUGGGAGACACACGGCGGGUGCUAACGUCCGUCGUGAAAAGGGAAACAACCCAGACCGCCAGCUAAGGUCCCAAAGUUGUGGUUAAGUGGUAAACGAUGUGGGAAGGCUUAGACAGCUAGGAGGUUGGCUUAGAAGCAGCCAUCCUUUAAAGAAAGCGUAAUAGCUCACUAGUCGAGUCGGCCUGCGCGGAAGAUGUAACGGGGCUCAAACCACACACCGAAGCUGCGGGUGUCACGUAAGUGACGCGGUAGAGGAGCGUUCUGUAAGCCUGUGAAGGUGAGUUGAGAAGCUUGCUGGAGGUAUCAGAAGUGCGAAUGCUGACAUGAGUAACGACAAUGGGUGUGAAAAACACCCACGCCGAAAGACCAAGGGUUCCUGCGCAACGUUAAUCGACGCAGGGUUAGUCGGUUCCUAAGGCGAGGCUGAAAAGCGUAGUCGAUGGGAAACAGGUUAAUAUUCCUGUACUUCUGGUUACUGCGAUGGAGGGACGGAGAAGGCUAGGCCAGCUUGGCGUUGGUUGUCCAAGUUUAAGGUGGUAGGCUGAAAUCUUAGGUAAAUCCGGGGUUUCAAGGCCGAGAGCUGAUGACGAGUCGUCUUUUAGAUGACGAAGUGGUUGAUGCCAUGCUUCCAAGAAAAGCUUCUAAGCUUCAGGUAACCAGGAACCGUACCCCAAACCGACACAGGUGGUCGGGUAGAGAAUACCAAGGCGCUUGAGAGAACUCGGGUGAAGGAACUAGGCAAAAUGGCACCGUAACUUCGGGAGAAGGUGCGCCGGCUAGGGUGAAGGAUUUACUCCGUAAGCUCUGGCUGGUCGAAGAUACCAGGCCGCUGCGACUGUUUAUUAAAAACACAGCACUCUGCAAACACGAAAGUGGACGUAUAGGGUGUGACGCCUGCCCGGUGCCGGAAGGUUAAUUGAUGGGGUUAGCGCAAGCGAAGCUCUUGAUCGAAGCCCCGGUAAACGGCGGCCGUAACUAUAACGGUCCUAAGGUAGCGAAAUUCCUUGUCGGGUAAGUUCCGACCUGCACGAAUGGCGUAACGAUGGCGGCGCUGUCUCCACCCGAGACUCAGUGAAAUUGAAAUCGCUGUGAAGAUGCAGUGUAUCCGCGGCUAGACGGAAAGACCCCGUGAACCUUUACUGUAGCUUUGCACUGGACUUUGAGCCUGCUUGUGUAGGAUAGGUGGGAGGCUUUGAAGCGUGGACGCCAGUUCGCGUGGAGCCAUCCUUGAAAUACCACCCUGGCAUGCUUGAGGUUCUAACUCUGGUCCGUGAUCCGGAUCGAGGACAGUGUAUGGUGGGCAGUUUGACUGGGGCGGUCUCCUCCUAAAGAGUAACGGAGGAGUACGAAGGUGCGCUCAGACCGGUCGGAAAUCGGUCGCAGAGUAUAAAGGCAAAAGCGCGCUUGACUGCGAGACAGACACGUCGAGCAGGUACGAAAGUAGGUCUUAGUGAUCCGGUGGUUCUGUAUGGAAGGGCCAUCGCUCAACGGAUAAAAGGUACUCCGGGGAUAACAGGCUGAUACCGCCCAAGAGUUCAUAUCGACGGCGGUGUUUGGCACCUCGAUGUCGGCUCAUCACAUCCUGGGGCUGAAGCCGGUCCCAAGGGUAUGGCUGUUCGCCAUUUAAAGUGGUACGCGAGCUGGGUUUAGAACGUCGUGAGACAGUUCGGUCCCUAUCUGCCGUGGACGUUUGAGAUUUGAGAGGGGCUGCUCCUAGUACGAGAGGACCGGAGUGGACGAACCUCUGGUGUUCCGGUUGUCACGCCAGUGGCAUUGCCGGGUAGCUAUGUUCGGAAAAGAUAACCGCUGAAAGCAUCUAAGCGGGAAACUUGCCUCAAGAUGAGAUCUCACUGGGAACUUGAUUCCCCUGAAGGGCCGUCGAAGACUACGACGUUGAUAGGCUGGGUGUGUAAGCGUUGUGAGGCGUUGAGCUAACCAGUACUAAUUGCCCGUGAGGCUUGACCAU